UACGUAGGGGGCGAGCGUUGUCCGGAAUUAUUGGGCGUAAAGCGCGUGUAGGCGGUCCGGUAAGUCCGCUGUGAAAGUCGAGGGCUCAACCCUCGAAUGCCGGUGGAUACUGUCGGGCUUGAGUACGGGAGAGGCGAGUGGAAUUCCUGGUGUAGCGGUGAAAUGCGCAGAUAUCAGGAGGAACACCGGUGGCGAAGGCGGGUCUCUGGGCCGUAACUGACGCUGAGGAGCGAAAGCAUGGGGAGCGAACAGG
rnacentral:rRNA from 1 species